rnacentral:rRNA from 1 species
UACGAAGGGGGCUAGCGUUGUUCGGAAUUACUGGGCGUAAAGCGUGCGCAGGCGGUGAUGUAAGACAGAUGUGAAAUCCCCGGGCUCAACCUGGGAACUGCAUUUGUGACUGCAUCGCUGGAGUACGGCAGAGGGGGAUGGAAUUCCGCGUGUAGCAGUGAAAUGCGUAGAUAUGCGGAGGAACACCGAUGGCGAAGGCAAUCCCCUGGGCCUGUACUGACGCUCAUGCACGAAAGCGUGGGGAGCAAACAGG